UCUGUAACCAUGAGCCAAUCACUUCACCAUUAUGCCUCUCAAAUUUUUCAUUGGCAAAUUGCAAUAAUGCUUCCCUUCCUCACAGAGGGUGGUGGGGAGAGAAACGGGGGGCUAGGGAAUUGAAUAUUGCUGAAAAGACACUCAAUAAUUCGUAGAUCAAGGUUUUUUCUUUUUUUUUUUAAAGGCAACCACCAGAAAACAAGAUUCUCGAGAAAAUCAGUGGGACAACUCCUAGGAGUCAGAUUUCCGCAUGUGCCCAGGGCUUUAAUUUUAGUCACUUGACUUUCUCGAGCAUGCUGAUAUUCCCGGUGUGUUCUCUAUUGCUUGGAAAGCAUAGAACUUUGCAAACUGCUGUACUCUUUGGAAACUGAAUAAUCUGUCACCUUGCACAGCGUGAGAUAACAUAGAAGAACCUCUGCUAUCAAACCUUACCCAGAGACUGGUUUCUGUGUACAAACCUGUCUCCAGUUAAUUUUGUUUCUCUCUCAUUGUUUUGCAACUUGCCUUGCAACAUCACCUUCUCUAUAGAUGUUCUUAUUAUUGCAUAAUAUCAUUGGGCUGCUGGUUUUUUGUUGCUCCUGUGUUUAGUUUGCCUCUUACAUUUUUGCUUAAUUUAUUUUUUGAUUUUGUUGUUGAUACUUUUUGUAUUCAGUGUACUUUUGUUCACGCAAACUCACUUUUUAAAUGAACAUCUUCAAGGUUCACAUUGAACUCUAUCAGAAUACUUAGUCUAGCACUGAUUUUGAGCUAUUUGCAACUGUUUGGGUCAUCAGUGUACCCUAUCACCACUGGCAUUGUGACAGAUUUUAGACCAGAAUAGUUUCAUUGCCCUACUACUGCCAUUUAAAGAAACAUAGGUUUGGAUCCAAAAUGCUGCCAUCCUGGAAAAUCAGAAAGUGUGUGUAGCGGGGAGGAGAAUGUUUUGCUAAUCAAAACAUUUGAGGAUCUUCACGCUCCUAAGAAAAAAAAGAGUUGAAUGCUACUGUUUUUUUUUUAAACAAAACACAAAAAGAAAGAAAGAGAACCAAACGAAAACAAAUGGGCUUUGUCAGCAACCAAACUGCAGCCCUUUAAUGACCAAGUGAAAAUGAAGGAUUCUUUAUUGAGACUGUGAUGUAAUUGAACUUGUGUGAUUCUAGUAUGUAAAUCUAGAUAUAAAUAGAAAUAUGGUGAGGUUUAAAAUAGACACUAGCAUAAGCAAAUGUAAAUCCAGGUGUUUUUUUAUAGUAAUCCAGAUAUAUGGGGCCCCAAGAAAAUCAAAUAUUAAAAUUUCUACAUAUGGAGGAAUUUGUGUACCAGCUAAAGGUAAAUGUCUUACCAUGGAUACCACAGUGUUUUGUGACUUCUAAUAUAGCAGAAAUAAAUCUGAAACCAACACUGUGACUGAAACGCAGUGUAUAUCUGGAACCAAUGAAACUUGAGAUAAGCAUUAAUAUACAUGAAAAAGAUACUAUGGUUCCACAGACUGAUGUGUUUGCUGCCUUCGCAUGUCUCAGUAACGGAGCUGGGAAAGUGUCACCAUCUAUACUGUCACGAAAGUGUAUUUAUGUCACAUUUCACACACUCUGAACUCCAGAAUAAUCUCCAGUUCUACUGCGGCAUUCUUCCAGCAGAUUGUCUGGUUGGGAAAGAUAAGAAGUGCAUAGUGUACUUCAACUCCAAUUGGGCAAUGGCACUGCAGUCUUUAGACUUAAGUGAUAAUGCCAGUUGAAUGUGAAAUGUGAAUAGUGUAAC